rnacentral:rRNA from 1 species
GUGGGGAAUAUUGGGCAAUGGGGGAAACCCUGACCCAGCGACGCCGCGUGAGGGAAGAAGGCCUUAGGGUCGUAAACCUCUGUUGUGUGGGAAGAAGAGCGUGACGGUACCACACGAGGAAGUCCCGGCUAACUACGUGCCAGCAGCCGCGGUAAUACGUAGGGGACGAGCGUUGUCCGGAUUUACUGGGCGUAAAGGGCGCGUAGGCGGUCAUUUAAGUCAGCUGUGAAAUGGUUUGGCUUAACCGGAUCAUGCGGUUGAAACUGGAUGACUGGAGUGCUGGAGAGGCAAGUGGAAUUCCCAGUGUAGCGGUGAAAUGCGUAGAUAUUGGGAAGAACACCGGUGGCGAAGGCGACUUGCUGGCCAGUAACUGACGCUGAGGCGCGAAAGCCAGGGGAGCAAACGGGAUUAGAAACCCCAGUAGUCC